AGCUGUAACUUGAAGGAAUCUCAAGCUUUGGAACUGAUGUUAGGUGUAAGAGGAGUACAGGAAGACUUCUAGUGAAAUUGUGAGCCUGGAUUACCACUAGGAAUUUUAGUAUGAA